rnacentral:rRNA from 1 species
AGUCAAAAAAAUAAUUUUUUAAUAAAAUUAUUGCAUAAUAGUAACUAAUAGUAACUAAUAGUAACUAUUAGUUACUAUAUAAAUAAAAAAAAAACAAAAAUAAAAAUAAGAAUAAGAAUAAAAAAAUUAUGAUCAAGAAAUUCAUAGACGCCAUCAAAAAGGGUUCUGCAACAUUUUUAAUUUUU